GUGUUGGUGGUUCAGUGGUAGAACUCUUGCCUUCCAUCCAAGAGACCUGAGUUCAAUUUCCACCCAGUGCA
rnacentral:tRNA from 1 species